AAAUCUGAACUCAGCUGCUGCCGUAUCUCACAACCUACUGCUGAGUCUCAGCUUGUGCUUUUCCCACAGGUUUCCUACCAGGAGGCAACUGAACACCCAAAGUCCUCAGCUUUGCGUACCUGCCCUCCCCCGAGAAGGGUUCACAUGCUGAAAAUAAAUAGCCCUGUCGUACAGCCCUGCUGGGCUUUGCUUUGGAUCCAUUACCCACAGUUACUUACUCCCUGACAGCUACUUCUGCACCUGAAGACAAGUAGUGGCUACAGCACUGAACGAACAUGAAUUUUCAAGAGCUGGGAGGUGUCAAAAACACCCAGAAAGACUAAUGUAAUCA